rnacentral:rRNA from 1 species
GGGUUGUGAGGUUAAGCGACUAAGCGUACACGGUGGAUGCCCUGGCAGUCAGAGGCGAUGAAGGACGUGCUAAUCUGCGAAAAGCGUCGGUAAGGUGAUAUGAACCGUUACAGCCGGCGAUGUCCGAAUGGGGAAACCCAGUGUGAUUCGUCACACUAUCGUUAACUGAAUACAUAGGUUAACGAGGCGAACCGGGGGAACUGAAACAUCUAAGUACCCCGAGGAAAAGAAAUCAACCGAGAUUCCCCCAGUAGCGGCGAGCGAACGGGGAGCAGCCCAGAGUCUGAAUCAGCUUGUGUGUUAGUGGAACGGUCUGGAAAGUCCGACGGUACAGGGUGAUAGUCCCGUACACCAAAAUGCACAGGCUGUGAACUCGAAGAGUAGGGCGGGACACGUGGUAUCCUGUCUGAAUAUGGGGGGACCAUCCUCCAAGGCUAAAUACUCCUGACUGACCGAUAGUGAACCAGUACCGUGAGGGAAAGGCGAAAAGAACCCCGGCGAGGGGAGUGAAAAAGAACCUGAAACCGUGUACGUACAAGCAGUGGGAGCACCUUCGGGUGUGACUGCGUACCUUUUGUAUAAUGGGUCAGCGACUUAUAUUCUGUAGCAAGGUUAACCGUAUAGGGGAGCCGCAGGGAAACCGAGUCUUAACUGGGCGUUAAGUUGCAGGGUAUAGACCCGAAACCCGGUGAUCUAGCCAUGGGCAGGUUGAAGGUUGGGUAACACUAACUGGAGGACCGAACCGACUAAUGUUGAAAAAUUAGCGGAUGACUUGUGGCUGGGGGUGAAAGGCCAAUCAAACCGGGAGAUAGCUGGUUCUCCCCGAAAGCUAUUUAGGUAGCGCCUCGUGAAUUCAUCUUCGGGGGUAGAGCACUGUUUCGGCUAGGGGGUCAUCCCGACUUACCAACCCGAUGCAAACUACGAAUACCGAAGAAUGUUAUCACGGGAGACACACGGCGGGUGCUAACGUCCGUCGUGAAGAGGGAAACAACCCAGACCGCCAGCUAAGGUCCCAAAGUCAUGGUUAAGUGGGAAACGAUGUGGGAAGGCACAGACAGCCAGGAUGUUGGCUUAGAAGCAGCCAUCAUUUAAAGAAAGCGUAAUAGCUCACUGGUCGAGUCGGCCUGCGCGGAAGAUGUAACGGGGCUAAACCAUGCACCGAAGCUGCGGCAGCGACACUAUGUGUUGUUGGGUAGGGGAGCGUUCUGUAAGCCUGCGAAGGUGACCUGUGAGGGUUGCUGGAGGUAUCAGAAGUGCGAAUGCUGACAUAAGUAACGAUAAAGCGGGUGAAAAAGCCCGCUCGCCGGAAGACCAAGGGUUCCUGUCCAACGUUAAUCGGGGCAGGGUGAGUCGACCCCUAAGGCGAGGCCGAAAGGCGUAGUCGAUGGGAAACAGGUUAAUAUUCCUGUACUUGGUGUUACUGCGAAGGGGGGACGGAGAAGGCUAUGUUAGCCGGGCGACGGUUGUCCCGGUUUAAGCAUGUAGGCUGGUUGUCCAGGCAAAUCCGGAUAAUCAAGGCUGAGGUGUGAUGACGAGGCACUACGGUGCUGAAGUAACAAAUGCCCUGCUUCCAGGAAAAGCCUCUAAGCAUCAGGUAACAUCAAAUCGUACCCCAAACCGACACAGGUGGUCAGGUAGAGAAUACCAAGGCGCUUGAGAGAACUCGGGUGAAGGAACUAGGCAAAAUGGUGCCGUAACUUCGGGAGAAGGCACGCUGGUGUGUAGGUGAAGUCCCUGCGGAUGGAGCUGAGACCAGUCGAAGAUACCAGCUGGCUGCAACUGUUUAUUAAAAAACACAGCACUGUGCAAACACGAAAGUGGACGUAUACGGUGUGACGCCUGCCCGGUGCCGGAAGGUUAAUUGAUGGGGUUAUCCGUAAGGAGAAGCUCUUGAUCGAAGCCCCGGUAAACGGCGGCCGUAACUAUAACGGUCCUAAGGUAGCGAAAUUCCUUGUCGGGUAAGUUCCGACCUGCACGAAUGGCGUAAUGAUGGCCAGGCUGUCUCCACCCGAGACUCAGUGAAAUUGAACUCGCUGUGAAGAUGCAGUGUACCCGCGGCAAGACGGAAAGACCCCGUGAACCUUUACUAUAGCUUGACACUGAACAUUGAGCCUUGAUGUGUAGGAUAGGUGGGAGGCUUUGAAGCGUGGACGCCAGUCUGCGUGGAGCCAACCUUGAAAUACCACCCUUUAAUGUUUGAUGUUCUAACGUUGGCCCCUUACCGGGGUUGCGGACAGUGUCUGGUGGGUAGUUUGACUGGGGCGGUCUCCUCCCAAAGCGUAACGGAGGAGCACGAAGGUUAGCUAAUCCUGGUCGGACAUCAGGAGGUUAGUGCAAUGGCAUAAGCUAGCUUGACUGCGAGCGUGACGGCGCGAGCAGGUGCGAAAGCAGGUCAUAGUGAUCCGGUGGUUCUGAAUGGAAGGGCCAUCGCUCAACGGAUAAAAGGUACUCCGGGGAUAACAGGCUGAUACCGCCCAAGAGUUCAUAUCGACGGCGGUGUUUGGCACCUCGAUGUCGGCUCAUCACAUCCUGGGGCUGAAGUAGGUCCCAAGGGUAUGGCUGUUCGCCAUUUAAAGUGGUACGCGAGCUGGGUUUAGAACGUCGUGAGACAGUUCGGUCCCUAUCUGCCGUGGGCGCUGGAGAAUUGAGGGGGGCUGCUCCUAGUACGAGAGGACCGGAGUGGACGCAUCACUGGUGUUCGGGUUGUCAUGCCAAUGGCACUGCCCGGUAGCUAAAUGCGGAAGAGAUAAGUGCUGAAAGCAUCUAAGCACGAAACUUGCCCCGAGAUGAGUUCUCCCUGAGACUUUAAGUCUCCUGAAGGAACGUUAAAGACGAUGACGUUGAUAGGCCGGGUGUGUAAGCGCAGCGAUGCGUUGAGCUAACCGGUACUAAUGAACCGUGAGGCUUAACCUUACAACGCCGAAG